ensembl:misc_RNA 7SK 7SK RNA
AGAUGGCAAAGCAGAAGCCCGCGGGUCCUGCCGCCACCAGGCCCUGCCUCUGCUGGCCUUCCACUGGCCUCUGCUGCCGCUCCGUGUGUGUCCCUCCCAAAGCUGUGCACUGGUCGAAGGGAACGACCUUCCCCGCUAGAGGAGGACUGGUUUUCAGUCUAGGUGCUGUGCUACCUGGCUAGAACCUCCAAACAAGCUCUGAGAGUGAAAAUAAAUACAAAUAAAUACAAAAGCAGAGACCAGAGACAUGUCACAGCCAGAUCUCCCACAUACUCAGGAAGUAUUU